GCGCUGGGCCGUACCACCAGCUGCAGGUCCCACAGAGAGAGGGUACCAGUAUAUCACCAUAUGGUUCCGUGCACACCCCAUUUCGUGCCCCACAAUAUGCACAAAACGAUGUGACCAUGCAAGGUGACAACGGGCAGCUUUUGAAAGGCAAGUCUAUUAGAAAAUGUUGUGCUAUGUAACCACAGAAGUAUUUUGCACGUUUUUAUCUCAUGACAAUUUGUUUGACAAUUUGUUUUUGCCCUCCAAAAGAUGACAAAAAUGCUUGCCGAAGUGCUGGUGGUUGUCAAUGAACUGUCAAGGGAUGUGCAGUUCAUCAAGGGUGAAUUGGCAGAGGCUAGAAUGACCCCAUCUUGUGGACCAGGGCCAGCCACAAGCCAAGAGAUGUUCCCCAUCCAACUGCCUAUCACCAACGAAGAUGACUUCAA